rfam:Microgenomates bacterium GW2011_GWC2_46_7 TX64_C0025, whole genome shotgun sequence.
GCCGAGGUGGCGAAAUGGUAGACGCGCACGCUUGAGGUGCGUGUGAAGUAAUUCAUGGAGGUUCAAGUCCUCUCCUCGGCA